rnacentral:rRNA from 1 species
UGAGGAAUAUUGGUCAAUGGGCGAGAGCCUGAACCAGCCAAGUAGCGUGCAGGAAGACGGCCCUAUGGGUUGUAAACUGCUUUUAUAAGGGAAUAAAGUGGGUCACGUGUGACUUUUUGCAUGUACCUUAUGAAUAAGGACCGGCUAAUCCGUGCCAGCAGCCGCGGUAAUACGGAGGGUGCAAGCGUUAAUCGGAAUAACUGGGCGUAAAGGGCAUGCAGGCGGUUAUAGAAGUAGGAUGUGAAAUCCCGGGGCUCAACCUCGGAACUGCAUUCUAAACUGAAUAACUAGAGUAUUGCAGGGGGAGACGGAAUUCCAGGUGUAGCGGUGGAAUGCGUAGAGAUCUGGAA